GGCUUUUUCCCUCCCCUCGUUGCUCCCUGUGGGUGCUCAGAGAGGGAAAAUUUGGGGAAUUUCACCCUAAAAUAUUCUGGAUUUGGUUUUCCCAAAUUUUCCCUUUUUUUCCCAAAUUUUUCCAAUUUUUUCCUGAUUUUUUUCCCAUUUUUUUCUCCCAAUUUUUCCCAAUUUUCCCCAUUUUUGCCCUUUUUUUUUCCCUUCGUUGCUCCCUAUGGGUGCUCAGAGAGGGAAACCGAUUUUUUCCUGAUUUUUUUCCCAUUUUUUUCUCCCAAUUUUUCCCAAUUUUCCCCAUUUUCGGCCCUUUUUUUUCCCCCCUGGUUGCUCCCUGUGGGUGCUCAGAGAGGGAAAAUUUGGGGAAUUUCACCCUAAAAUAUUCUGGAUUUGGUUUUCCCAAAUUUUCCCUUUUUUUCCCAAUUUUUCCCUUUUUUUCCCAAAUUUUUCCGAUUUUUUCCUGAUUUUUUUCACAUUUUUUUCUCCCAAUUUUUUGCUUUUUUCCCCCUUUUUGCCCUUUUUUUUUCCCUCCCCUCGUUGCUCCCUAUGGGUGCUCAGAGAGGAAAAUUUGGGGAAUUUCAGCCUAAAAUAUUCUAGACUUGGUUUUACCAAAUUUUCCCUUUUUUUCCCAAAUUUUUUCCCAAUUUUCCCAAUUUUUUCCGAAAUUUUUCCCCCAAUUUUUCCCUUUUUGUUUUCCCAAUUUUUCACUUUUUUCCCCAUUUUUCCCUCCCCUCGUUGCUCCCUAUGGGCGCUCAAAGAGAGAAAAUUUGGGAAUUUCAGCACAAAAUAUUCUAGAUUUGGUUUUCCCAAAUUUUCCCUUUUUUUCCCAAUUUUUCCCUUUUUUUCCCAAAUUUUUCCGAUUUUUUCCUGAUUUUUUUCCCAUUUUUUUCUCCCAAUUUUUCCCAAUUUUCCCCAUUUUCGGCCCUUUUUUUUCCCCCCUGGUUGCUCCCUAUGGGUGCUCAGAGAGGAGAAAAUUUGGGAGUUUCAGCCUAAAAUAUUCUAGAAUUGCUUUUCCCAAAU
rnacentral:lncRNA from 12 species